rnacentral:rRNA from 2 species
AACGACUCUCGGCAACGGAUAUCUCGGCUCUCGCAUCGAUGAAGAACGUAGCGAAAUGCGAUACUUGGUGUGAAUUGCAGAAUCCCGUGAACCAUCGAGUCUUUGAACGCAAGUUGCGCCCGAAGCCUCGGCUAAGGGCACGUCUGCCUGGGCGUCACGC